GGCUCUGCGGUGCGAGCGGGAUACUCUCGGCAGCUUGCCGGGCUCUCCGAGAAAGAUGGAGGAAUCAAACUGGGGUGGGCCAUUGUGCAAGGCAAAUGCCCUACCUGACUAUGCUAUUGUUCCCUUCCUCCCUCACCUCUCCAUGUGCAUCCCUCCUGAAGCUGCGUGACUGGUCAAAGGGGAAGGCCUUCCCUGAAUAGAGACAGACCGGUCUUGGUCUCCCGUCAAGGGUAUACGAGUAGCUGUGCUCCCCUGCUAGAACCUCCAAACAAGCUCUCUCGAAUCUACAUAAGGAUUUGUUAAAAAUGACAGUUAGAGUACAUUUGUUCUUUCUCCCGAUCCUAGUAUACGGAAUAUUUA
rnacentral:snRNA from 1 species